rnacentral:rRNA from 1 species
AAUGAUCCGGUGAAGUGUUCGGAUCGCGGCGACGUGGGUGGUUCGCCGUCUGCGACGUCGCGAGAAGUCCACUAAACCUUAUCAUUUAGAGGAAGGAGAAGUCGUAACAAGGUUUCCGUAGGUGAACCUGCGGAAGGAUCAUUGUCGAAACCUGUCCAAAACAGAACGACCCGAGAACAACCGAUCAUCACUCUCGGUAGGCCGGUUUCCUAACGGUUGUCGUGCCUACCGGUUCCGUGGUUUCAUGUAUGGCCUCAUCAAGUUUCAUUACUUGGCGAGUGCAUGCACGUUUCUUCCGGAUUUCACAAAACCACGGCACGAAAAGUGUCAAGGAACAUGCAACCGAACAGCUUGCAUUCGCCGCUCCAGAGAUGGCUUGCGUGCGAAUGUUUUGCUGCAAUCUAAAGUCUAAAACGACUCUCGGCAACGGAUAUCUCGGCUCUCGCAUCGAUGAAGAACGUAGCGAAAUGCGAUACUUGGUGUGAAUUGCAGAAUCCCGUGAACCAUCGAGUCUUUGAACGCAAGUUGCGCCCUAAGCCUUUUGGCCGAGGGCACGUCUGCCUGGGUGUCACAAAUCGUCGUCCACCAUUCCUCUCAAGGGUCUUGGACGGAAGCUGGUCUCCCGUGUGUUACCGCACGCGGUUGGCCGAAAUCUGAGCCAAGGACGCCGAGAGCGUCUCGACAUGCGGUGGUGAAACAAUCCUCUUCGUACCGUCGUGCGCUCUUGUCCGAAAGCUCUCGUUGACCCAAUGUCUUCUAUGCGACCCCAGGUCAGGCGGGAUCACCCGCUGAGUUUAAGCAUAUCAAUAAGCGGAGGAAAAGAAACUAACAAGGAUUCCCUUAGUAACGGCGAGCGAACCGGGAAGAGCCCAGCUUGAAAAUCGGACGUCUUCGGCGUCCGAAUU